UACGGAAGGCAGCAGUGGGGAAUAUUGCACAAUGGGCGCAAGCCUGAUGCAGCCAUGCCGCGUGUAUGAAGAAGGCCUUCGGGUUGUAAAGUACUUUCAGUCGUGAGGAAGGUGUUAAGGUUAAUAACCUUAGCAAUUGACGUUAGCGACAGAAGAAGCACCGGCUAACUCCGUGCCAGCAGCCGCGGUAAUACGGAGGGUGCGAGCGUUAAUCGGAAUUACUGGGCGUAAAGGGCACGCAGGCGGUUAAUUAAGUUGGAUGUGAAAUCCCCGGGCUUAACCUGGGAAUGGCAUUCAAGACUGGUUAGCUAGAGUCUUGUAGAGGGGGUAGAAUUCCAUGUGUAGCGGUGAAAUGCGUAGAGAUGUGGAGGAAUACCGGUGGCGAAGGCGGCCCCUGGGACAAAGGACUGACGCUCAUGUGCGAAAGCUGGGGAGCAAACAGGGAUUAGAUACC
rnacentral:rRNA from 1 species